GCAAGUCGAACGAGAACGCUCCUUCGGGAGUUAGUAGAGUGGCGCACGGGUGAGUAACACGUAGGUGAUCUGCCCUUUGGCGGGGGAUAACUCUUAGAAAUGAGAGCUAAUACGCCAUAAGAUCAACAAAUUUGAAAGUAGUUGAUGAAAGGAUGCCUCUCGUUGGAAGCAUUCGCCGAAGGAUGGGCCUGCGGGUCAUUAGUUAGUUGGUGAGGUAAUGGCCUACCAAGACUACGAUGACUAGCUGAUUUGAGAGAAUGAUC
rnacentral:rRNA from 1 species